AUGACUGAACCUGUUAGAUUCAAAAUGCCACUCAGGAAAGCCUCAGCAUUCACAGCUAACACGAGAAAACCCAUAAAGGGCCCAGAUCACCUGAAGUUUCAUCUUCACUCCCAAGCAAAAGACUGGGACUUUUCUUGGACUGGGACUGUGAUCUGGAGCUAUGACUUGGACCUGGGACUCUGGAUCUUGGACUGCUUCUGGCCAGACUCUCUCUCCACUGACCCACCUAACUGCACCCCCUGUACCUACUAUGGAAGACACUGAGGAAAAUAGAGGCCAAAUGACUUGCCCAAGGUCACACACCUAGAGCUGAGCCAAGAUGUUCAAGUUUGAUUCUUGUUCAGUAGAAGCCAUGGAAAUACAGAGAAGCACCUUCAAGCAGAACAGGUCGGCGCUGCUUCAAACUGAGGUUCCAGAGCUGCUGGCAACCUGGUUAUGCCAUCUAGCUUGGCCAUGGAUCACACACACAUGCACACGUGCACACACAUGCAAAUAUACCUGUAAUUCUUUUGACUGAGCAUGUCUCCUUACUCUCUCUGGGUCAGUGAUAGCCAAUGACAAGGAAGGGAUGGAGAAGGGGGAAAAAACUCAAAAACUGAUGCCUUCAGCAAAGGAGAAAAUGAUAGGGCAAGUCUGAGGUUACCUGAGCAAUAUCUGGGUUCUUAAUAACUCACAUUUAUGUAGUGCUUCAACUUUUACAAUGGGAUUUCUUCCUGACAACACAGUGAGCUAUAAAGUGCAACUAUCAGUAUCCUCUUUAAACAGAAGUAGGGGGGACAGGGCAGAGUGGAUAAAGCACCCAACUGGGAGUUGGUCAAAUUUGACCUCAGACAUUUCCUAGCCAUGUGACCCUGGGCAAGUCACUUAACCUUGUUUGUAGCCAUUUCCUUGUCUGUAAAAAGAAAUGGUGGGGGCAGCUGGGUAGCUCAGUGGAUUGAUAGCCAGGCCUAGAGACAGGAGGUCCUAGGUUCAAGCCUGGCCUCAGACACUUCCCAGCUGUGUGACCCUGGGCAAGUCACUUGACCCCCAUUGCCUAGCCCUUACCACUCUUCUGCCUUGGAGCCAAUACAUGGUAUUGACUCCAAGAUGGAAGGUAAGGGUUUAAAAAAAAAGAAAGAAAUGGCAAACCACUCCAGUAUUUUUGCCAAGAAAACCCAAACGGGGCCUUGAAGAGUUGCAUAUAACUGAAAAAGUCUGAACAAUAACUAAUGUUAAUAAGGUAUAGGCAGGGAGCAAGAAGGUGGUUCAGUGGAGCUGGGAAAACCUACAUUCAAAUCUGACCUGAGACAUUUGCUAGCUGCGUGACCCUGGGCACCUCACUUAACCCCAUUUGCCUAGUCCUUGCCCUUCUGUCUCUGAGUUGUUACUAGGACAGAAAGUAAGAGUCUAAAUAUUUUUUAAAAACGGAUGAGGGAACUGAGGCUGGGGGUAGGGGAUGAUUACUCAUGAUCAUGCAGCUAGGACUUGCCAGAUUUAGGAUUCAAAUCCAGGUCUCCUACCUCCAAACCUAGUACUAUUUCUACAACAUAUGCUGCCACUACAUUGUACACAAUUACAUCCACAUACAUCUGCGGUCCUCCUAACAAUUUCAUUCCUACAGUAUGGCCCUUUGAAGUACCAACUGGAGACGUUGGUAAAAAUUAAAUUAAAAAAAGAAAGAAGAAAAUCCUUUCUGAUCUUUUUUCCUUGUGGAGGUGGAUUCCCAAACAACAGGAUGGCUUUACCAGCCUGGGAAGCAAUAAACAUGGAGGGAGAAUUAAGAUGCUGGGAAUC
ensembl:lncRNA